CGCAUGUUUAGUUAGGAAUGGAAAUGUGAAAAUUAAAUUUGAGGGUUUUUGCAUGUUUAGCUUAUAGUUUAUUUUUGGUCUUAAGCUACGAAGCAACUUGAUGAAACUAGCUAUAAGACUAAGGUGAGUUUUGGGCGGUGUAAGCAAGCACAAAGAAGGUAAAUUUGAACUCCUAAUUAACAUAUGAAUUAGGUUUAAAUCCAUUUAUCAUGCAUAUUUUUCCCAAUUUACAAGUUUAAUCACCUCAUUUUUAAAUUUGAAAAUAUAGUUCACUAGUUCAAAUUAAAAUGUUAGAUGACCACUUGUACCAAAAAAAAAAAUGUUAGAUGAACACUACUAAUUAAAUUUGAUGCUUACUUUUGAAGUUGAAUAAUUAGAGGAUAAGCCACUUGAAGGUGGUGUGUAACAUUGCACAUAUUCUUAAUAACUAAUAUAUAUAUAAAGUACCCCUCAAUAAUAUAUAGAUCACUCAUGUAAAUUUUUAUAUUUUAUUAAGAAUCAUUAAAAUUAACGGUAUUCAAUAAAAAUACAGAAACGUUGAUAAAUGUAAUUAUAAUAUUUACAAUGUCAUUAACCUAUUGUUUCAGAAAAUAAAAUAUAUAUUGUAAAAAAAAUAAAAGAUAUAAUAGUGGCAAUAGGAGUCUAAUAAGUAUGUGAACAAAAAAGAAAUAGUUGGUUUAAUUUUAAUUUUUUUUUUUUUAACAAAUGGUUUAAGUUUAAAUUAUUUAAGGUUGUUCUGUUUAGGGUGCUAAAUUAAGGACUUCUGUUUUGGAAUAAAAAUGAAGGACUUAAAAUUGACUAAUAUAUAUACUUAGUAUUAUUUUGAGAACAAUAAUGACAACGAAAUUCAAACUUAUAACAUAAAUUAUUUAAACCCCUUGUUAAUUAGUAGCUCUAUCAUAAUCACAGUGGCUUAAAAUUCAUUUAAUCAGACACUAGGCAUUAAAAAUACUAGCGGUGCAAGAGCAACUUGAUGAGUCUUCAAAUGUCAGAUAUUUAAUUUUCACCAAUAAGCAAAUAUACUUUUUUUUUAACCGAAAUAUUUCUAUUAACUGGGUUAAAUUUAUUGAGUCCACCAUUUCAACAAAUUAUGUAAUUUCCUUAAGUUAAAAAAUAGAAGAAAAAAUUAUGUAAUUUCCUGCCACACCACAUUUUGUGCUAUGAUUGAUUUAAUGUAUGUAUAUAUUGUUUUUUAUAUUUAACAAGAAUGUUUUUUUGUCAAGUAGUCUUGUGGUUAGAAAUUUAACUUUAAAGAUGAAUAAAUGAAGUGUUCUGAGUUCGAACACCAACUCUUGCAUAUAUAAUACGAUGUCUCUUUUAAUUGAGUUAAACUUACGAAAACACCAAUAGCUAUUUUUCAAUCGAAUUCCAACUUCUGCAUAAUAAUGCGAUCUCCCUAAUAACUAAAUUAAACUUACUAAAAAAUAAUUAAAUUCUUUUGAAAUAUUGUCGAAUAUUAAAUGUGUGCACUUUUUAAAACUAAUUUCUUCUGUUAAACUCAAUCAGUUUAUACUUUUUCCUUAUCUAAGAUGAUUAUGCAAAAACUCAAUUAUUAAGAUUAAAUGUUCUUCCUUAUCUUGUAUUGUAUGAAAGUGUACACACUCUUUGAAUCUAAAAUCUUAUGAAUCUCUUGUACAACUAAGAUUAAAUGAGAUGCUUACAGAUGGAAGAUAUUUAAGAUUUUUCAAUCAGUUGAUUACUAAGCUUAAUCAUGUUUNNNNNNNNNNNNNNNNNNNNNNNNNNNNNNNNNNNNNNNNUGCUUGAUGCAGCUGGCAUAUUCUUUUUUGUACUUUUAUUUCCUCCUAUAGAAUUAAAAAAUAUAAAUAAUUAGAUUUUGAUAUGAUUCAUGAAUUCAUAGUCACAAAAAAUAAACAACCAAAAUUUAGAGUCACAAAAUAAAAGAGCUUAACCACAGUCCACAUACAUAUGGUUGGAUUAUCCACUCAUGGUGUUUAGAGGUUUUCAUAGGAUGAGAUAAGUUAUAAAUAUGAAUUUAUAAAUUGUCUGGUGAUGACGAGUUUGGGUAGUAUAUUAUAGGUUUUGGGUUCAAUCUCCAGUUCAUUGUAAAUAAAAAAAAAAAAAAUUAAGACGGUUUUUAUCUUACAAACAACUUUUGUAAGAAUUGAGUUUGAUUUAAUUUAAAUUUUAAGAUGCAAUUGAUUCUAUAUAAAGAUCUAUUAAAUUAUCUGUUAUCAGAUCACUACUAUUGAUCUACUCGAUUUACACUUUUUUAUUACUAUAAAGAGACCCUCGCACUCUUACUUGAUUUAUGUUUUGUAUAUUAAAUCGUGAAUGUAAAAUAAAUGUAAAAUGAAAUUGAAAAUAAAUUUAACAGGAGGAAAUAUUUUUCACCUUGCAAAGUUAUUUGUAAGAACCUAACAACUCAAAUUUUAAGACAUAAUUAUGGUAAAUUUCAUUAUAAAUUAUCAAUGUAGUUCUCAUUGAUAGGAAGAGGUUAACCAAUCAUNNNNNNNNNUCCUCUUGUUUCUUUCAAUUACCUUAGCAUAUUGCUAUUCAUAGCUUUGCAUUGCUCUUGAAACUUUGUUUCUUCACACCCUUAAACAAUUAUUCAUUUUUCUCAUUUUUGGUAAGCUAAUAGCAUUUUUUUUUAUAUAUAUUUAAAUUUUUAACCAUUAUUGUCCUCAAUCCUUCACCUUUUGAUUUUCAAUCAACCAUCCAUGGCUUCAUAAUCACUUAAAAAACAUAAUUGACAUGUAGUACCAUGAAGAUUGUUUUGAGAGUCGGCUUUAUACUUUUCAAACAAAUGUUUGGAAUUAAGAAUCAUAUGAUACCACGAUAACACUUUUUUUACCUAGAUUUUACUUACCUAUGUGUUAAAAAAGAAAAACUUUACUUACCUCUUAGUUGAAAUCAGAUGAGAGUCAAUUUUCCUCCGAUAAUUGAAGGAUUAAGACAAGAAAAUAACUAUUUAAAUUCUAGAUACAAUUGAAGGGUUAAGACAAAAAAAGAACUAUUUAAAAUUACACAAAGAUAAUUUGUGAUUAAUUCUAGAGAUUUGUAGCACCUCCUUUUUGCUAAAAAAUCUGCAUUGCUUUGAAGUGUUAUUUUCAUCUUUAUAUAAUAAACUUUGAGCUUAUUCUCCAAAGUUUGUUAUAUGAUCCAUUCAACUUUGGAAAGUUGGUUUAUUUUUGAAAGUGUUUUGCUGUGUCACAUGAACUCUGUUUCAAAUAUUAUAUUAUUGCUUUUUCCUUAGACUCAUCCAUUUCUUGUGGCUUCUAAUUUUUAUAAUUGAAAGCAACUUUGAAUCUUACACAAAAGUUCAUUUAUGUUCUGUCCACUCACAAACUUCACAAAGCAUUAUCCUAAAUGAUUUGGAUUAGUCCCUUUUGCAACUUUUGAUGCUAAUCUGAGUCAACUAUGGCAUCUUUUAUAUGUUCAAAAAUAAAAGCCAUGUUGAUGUGUAGAUUCAGAAUCAUAAUGAAUUUCUAUAUAGAAAAAUUUAGCAUAUAUAAGAAAUGGUCUAGACAUUGUUUUAACUUUGUUUCCUGUUGAAUUUUUAAGGAUUUUUUAAUCGAAAUGGCGUACGAGGAUCGAUUCGGACAACAGUCUCAGAGAUCA
rnacentral:lncRNA from 1 species